rnacentral:rRNA from 1 species
GACGAACGCUGGCGGCGUGCUUAACACAUGCAAGUCGAACGGAAAGGCCCUGCUUUUGUGGGGUGCUCGAGUGGCGAACGGGUGAGUAACACGUGAGUAACCUGCCCUUGACUUUGGGAUAACUUCAGGAAACUGGGGCUAAUACCGGAUAGGAGCUCCUGCUGCAUGGUGGGGUUGGAAAGUUUCGGCGGUUGGGGAUGGACUCGCGGCUUAUCAGCUUGUUGGGGGGGUAGUGGCUUACCAAGGCUUUGACGGGUAGCCGGCCUGAGAGGGUGACCGGCCACAUUGGGACUGAGAUACGGCCCAGACUCCUACGGGAGGCAGCAGUGGGGAAUAUUGCACAAUGGGCGGAAGCCUGAUGCAGCAACGCCGCGUGCGGGAUGACGGCCUUCGGGUUGUAAACCGCUUUCGCCUGUGACGAAGCGUGAGUGACGGUAAUGGGUAAAGAAGCACCGGCUAACUACGUG